AUACGUACUAGCUUCAGCGAUGGAUCGGUUGCAUCGAGUAUCGAUGAAGAACGCAGCUUGUUGCGUUACUUACCACGAAUUGGAGACGCUUAGAGUGGGGAAAUUUCGAACGCCUAGCACCGACUGGGUCUCCAGCCGGUACGUCUGGUUCAGGGUUGUUUAACUCACUGCC
rnacentral:rRNA from 1 species